GUGUACCUAUCCCGCGCCCCUCUCUCUCUGAUCCGGCCCACACCUCUUCUCUUCUCUCUUCAAUUCUGAACAGUAUUCUCUCUCUCGCAGCUCCCUCUCUCUCAUAGUUCCCUCUCUCUCUCAGCUCCCUCUUAAUUUCUCCGUCUAACCUCAUCCCAUCGUGUACCUCGAUCCCGCGCCUCUCUCCCCCUCAACUCUUCUCUUCUCUUUUCUAAACAACACUCUCUCUCUCUCUCUCUCUCUCUCUCUCUCACACACACACACACACACACUCUCUCUCUCUCUCUCUCAACUCUCUCUCUCUCUCUCUCAGCUCCCUCUUUCUCCAUUUGACCUCUUCCCCCGUAGGCCGUCCUCGCUCACUAAUCUUUCUCCACCGCGGUGCAGCAUUCUCAGUCGGCCGUCCUCGCUCUGCCGGUACCGAUCGAACUCCUCCCCCCCUCUAGCCGACCUCCUCAUCACAGUACUGUUUGACAGAGGGAUCAAUACGAUGGUCAGAGGACGACGUGUAUGCGAUUGCUAUGGGGAAGCCGAAACACUCCGGCUGUGUAUGAGGGGUACCUGGGGAACUACAGCACAAAUCUAGCAGUCGUUUGACUAGGCCAUCAUCGCAAGACUCACAGGUUUCUACUUUACUAGGUGAGAUUGGUAUGUUGAAGGGAUUAUUGAUGGCACAGCAGGAACGGUUCCAGGCACAUGUAGAAUAGUACGAGUCACAGCAGCAACUCUACGAGUCACAACAUUAACUCAUCCACAAACAACAAGAGGAUAUGUUGCAGAUGCAGAAGAUGCUUGAAAUUGUUAUGGCUAAUACAGGAACUAGCAGCCAAUUUUCAAUGUCGGACACAGAGUACUCUCCCGGCCAUGUGAGAGCGAGAUUAUCAGUGGCCAGUCGUCUAGGUGUGGAACUGCAACUGCAGAGGAUGAACGGAGCUACACACAUUUCUUGUGGUUCAUCAUAAAAUAAUCGUUAACAGCUGUUGGUCUAGGAGUCAACUAGCAAGUUGGAAGUGCAUCAAGAUUUUGUGAUUGUAUUACUUUUAAUACUUUGUUUGGGUUAUUUUAUUCCUUUGAUUAAACUUGAGUAUUGCUUUGGAUACAUAUUAUGAGAUUAAACUUUUACUAUGUUGUUUUGGAUAUUAUUUAUGGGUUUAACUUGAGUGUUGUUUUUUAUAUUAGUUAUGAGCUGAACUUGAGUCUUGA